rnacentral:rRNA from 1 species
UUUGCAGGCUGUUCAAUAAGUCAGUGGUGAAAUCCUGCGGCUUAACCGUAGAACUGCCAUUGAUACUGUUGCCCUUGAGUAUAGUUGAGGUGGGCGGAAUGUGUAAUGUAGCGGUGAAAUGCAUAGAGAUUACACAGAACACCAAUUGCGAAGGCAGCUCACUAAGCUAUAACUGACGCUGAGGCACGAAAGCGUGGGGAGCGAACAGGAUUAGAUACCCUGGUAGUCC